AGGAGUCACGGGGGCUAGGGGGACGCUUUAGAGUGUUGCACUAGAGUACGAAACAUGCGCAGUGACCGAUUGUUCUGUUCUACUUUAUUGUAAUAAAUAGUUAUAAUUAAGUUGCCUACGUCCUCCUUUUCCUCCGGCACUACAGUUUUAUGGUUGACCGUGCUCGUUGACCAUGCUCGUGAGGUGGCGAGAAGGCUACCCCAAAGAACGCCUAGAAGAGGAACAACAGUGUGUUGUCAGAAGAGAGAGAAGUCCGGCCAGGUGAGUCUGCUCACCUGAAGAGACAGACUCUGAGGAGGAGCAGCUGCCUUGUGUGUUGUAUUAAGUCACUGACAGGCCCAGAGGCACAGACAUCUCCCCAGGCCCCAGAAGCCUGCCUGCUGUUAAAGGUCACUGAGGGUCCCACAGACACACACAGAGCUCCCAGCACUGCCCUGUGUGUUGUAUUAAGUCACUGACAGGCCCAGAGGCACAGACACCUCCCAAGGUGUUGUCGUCCCUCCUCUAUGCUUGGGGGGAGAUGGGCCUCCCCGGGUCCCCAAGCUUGACGGACAUCCGUUUAGCCGUGGCCACAUACAACUUUGACUCAGAGAUAGGCUUUCCCAAAGAAAGCCAAGAAGAAGAACAACAGUGUGUUGUCAGAGGAGAGAGAAGUCCGGCCAGGUGAGUCUGCUCACCUGAAGAGACAGACUCUGAGGAGGAGCAGCUCUGGACCUCCGGAUUGACCGCACGCUGACCAUCUACGGCAUCAGCCAGGACAACGACGCCAAGGCGUUGUCGCCCGGCGCCAUCCAGGUGUCCUGGAAGGAGCCGGAGCACAACACACAGGACAUCAUCGGCUACGUGCUGCACAUCCGGCGGUCCUCAGAACCGAGAACAGCGCCGGCUCCACGCAGGCCAGCGCCCGCCUCACCGUGCUGUGGGCCGACGGGCUCCCCGGGGCCCCCACACAGGUGCGGGCCCAGGCGUUGUCGCCCGGCGCCAUCCAGGUGUCCUGGAAGGAGCCGGAGCAGAACACACAGGACAUCAUCAGCUACGUGCUGCACAUCCGGCUGUCCUCAGGUGUUGUCGUCCCUCCUCUAAGCUUGGGGGGAGAUGGGCCUCCCCGGGUCCCCAAGCCUGACGGACAUCCGUUUAGCCGUGGCCACAUACAACUUUGACUCAGAGAUUGGCAGGAGGGACCAUCGCAAUACGACCGCGGCAGCGACUAUCAAUGCAUCGCCGAGAACAGCGCCGGCUCCGGCGAGCGAAGAGGGAAAAGCCCAGUGCCGAUACUGCAGCGGUACUGCACCGUGUUUUUGUUAUAUAUAUUUAUUCAUGUUUUGUUUUAGUUCUAUAUAUUUAUUCAUGUUGUGUUUUAGUUCCAUAUAUUUAUUCAUGUUGUGUUUUAGUUCUAUAUAUUUAUUCAUGUUCCG